rnacentral:lncRNA from 10 species
UGAAUGUGGCGGCACGUGCCUGUAAUCCCAGCUACUUGGGAGGCUGAGGCAGGAGAAUCACUUGAACCUGGGAGGCGGAGGCUGCAGUGAGCCAAGAUCGCGCCACUGCACUCCAGCCUGGGCUACAGCGUGAGACUCUGUGUCUCAAACAAACAAACAAACAAAGUUUGAAACCACUGUGUUCAUCUCACACCUUGCAGAGAGAUAUAUGCCCAGGAUGGGGCUGAAUAAAAAGCUAAUAAUAAUAGCCACCACCUGUGGAGAGCUUCUCUUGGACCACGCAUUCUGCUAAGUCCUUCUCUUGUAUGAGGACCAGUUGUGCCCAGAGAACCUUCUCUGUCUCCUCUAACCAUGGGAUAAAAGGAGAUUUCCACAAGAGCGGCUCAGGGACGCAGCCCAUCUCUUAAGAAGGAGGCUCUGAGAGGGACAAGACCAUGGAUGCAGCACAUGGCCACAAGGCAGUUUCAAGAUGCCCAUGUCAGGCAGAGGAUGGCUCAGUGGUCUCUAACCCACCUAACAUUUCAUGAACUUUACUCCUGGUCCCGCUCCCAAAUUAGACACUGGAGAUAAUGGAUCACUAUACUGCACUGAAGACUCGGAGGGGUUGAGCCGCUGGAGCCACGCAAAUUCAGACACCUCUUCCGCCCCAGGUCACUCUACUCGCCCACGCUGCCUGCCACACCCAUCCGGUUGUGCGGGACACUCCCCGCGUUUCUUCAGCGAUUCUUAUCGGGCUCCCUCCUUGUUCAAUAAAGGUGAAGGGUGUGGGGUUUUCUGUGCAUACGCUCAGGAAGUUGAGUCCCGGUGAAACGUGUCAGGUUGCCAUUUCCCAGGCUGGAAAGAUUUUCCCAGGACGGGUAUGAAUAGACGAUGAAAGUGCACACUCUUACCCGGCUGCCCGACCCAGGUGCCAGGCUUCUGACUCAGGACCAUCUGUGGGUGCGAGUGCAGGGAGGUGAGUCACUGCAGCCUUGCUCAGUCCCCCUGCAGAGGUCAGAUCCUGGGCCCCAAAAGCUGCUCCAGGAUGAAAGCCUGCUCUCAGUGAGACUAAAAUCCUGGUCAUUUGUGUUCUGCAGUCAUGAGCAUGUAACCCUAAUGUAGAACAACAACUUAGCCAAUGACUAUUUUUUCUGUUCAUGCCACAGUACCUGAAGGAGAAUUGCUGCUUCUCUUAAUGGUGCCUGCCACCCAACCCAAUAGUUAGCAUGUGAACGUCUUGCUUGAGAUCAGCUUCUGGGUGUAAAAAUAAAUUUAAAUAUAGAAAAUUCAAAUAACACCCAUUCAUUUAUCAAAGAUCUCAAAUGUUCUAUGAUCAAGGCAAAAAUCUAGUAGCCAAACAGAGGGUUCCCUAGCUGGUUUGACAGCCACACAGAAGGAUGGUUUGUACACAGCCACUAUUUUUCUAGAAGCCAGGGUAGCUUAUGUUUGGGACAUAUAUAAAAUACAAGGUAAAGGCUCUUUGAUUUGGGGAGGGAUGAUGGGAGGGGAAAUAAAGGCAUAAACAUGAAGUAACAAGGGAAGUCAAAAAUUCAGGUAGAUAAGGCGAGAGCUGACGCUGUUGCAAUCCAUUCUUCAUUCCCCAUACGUGAGUUGCCUGAGGUUUCUGAGGUCACAGAAGCUGUGAUGAACAUGAUUCAGUAGGAAGCAAGCAGGAAUAGGAGCCAGAAUCCUGAGUUCUCCUCUCAGCUCUGAUGCUGACACUGUGAUCUUAUUAUGUAAGAUUAAAUAAAAAUCGUGUUUUAGACACGUAGGCAGAGAAAAAGUCACCAUGCUGAAAUUGGCCAAGGGACUGAACAGAACCUGUUGCGUAGGAUCUUUUCAUGAUUCUAAGUUCUACAGGAGUUAGACACAAUAUCUGAACGGUCUCAGGUCUCUAUCUUUAAGAUACUAGAACUCAGGAUUGAACUGGAAUUUGAAGCAGAAUACUCUGUUUGCUGAGUGCUGAGUUCUGCCAAGAGAUAAAUUUUUCUCCAGCCUCUGCAGACAGAGGCACCCUGAGCUCCUGGGAUCUGGGGCAGCAGCCUCAGGGCUGUCCUGGAUUUGAACGGCAAGUACAGAAUUGCACCCAUCCUCUCAGUAAACCUGAGCAGUAGACAUCCCCAUGCCCACUUUAGAAAGAGGGAGGUUAAAGCUCCCAUGUGUUAAUCAGUUCUCAUGGUUAGAAACUUCUGGAGCUGGCAUUUGAGAGAUCUGUUGGACUCUGAAGCACAUCUGUCUUCUCAUUUAAGCCCUGUUCUAGGCAUUUGCCCAUACAGGGUGUGAGACUGGGCUUGUCAGUAACGUCCCUGCACUUGUAGAAACAGGACAGAAGAGGCUGCUGGCAUGGGCCACCACACAGGCAAUGGGCUAAGAAAGAACAGUCAGGAUGCAAGAGAGAAAUUUCUCCGAGUUCAUAACCAGCCGAUUGUGCAGGUGCAAACUUUGUGAUCUGUGCACACCAAAGAUCAUUUCCGUAUUUGCCUUGUAGCUGCCACUGUUGUUGUUUGCUAGGGAAAGGUGAUAGUCCCUUGAAAACCUGUUCUGUUGCCCUGAGGCCACUUGAUAUCCAAAGUUUUCUUCAUCCCUCAACCACAGCAAGCACUGACCCUCACAGUGACAGAGUGUGGGCAAUGCACUCUGCACUCCUGAGUUACACAAAUAAGGAUUGAUUUGAUCGUUUCAAAACAAGGAGGUCACUGCAAAAUUCAACAAAUGCUCAGUAAUGCCAUUUUCUUCGCUGAGAGCUCCUCCUCUGCCAGCAGUACAUGUCCCUCUCUAAGAAAAGGACUCUCAGAAGUGGGCAGAUCGUAAGAGCUAUGACUGAUGAUGAAGCAAAGAUGAAAAUCGUCUUCAUGACUUGCAUGUGCAGCAGAGGAAACCACAAGUUAUUCCCUGCAAGCCGGAAGCGGGCGGAUGUUUUCAUGGCCAAAGCCAGCAGUCCCCAUUUCUGUCUGUCAUAUUUUAGGGUAACUUGAUGGAAGAGAGGGAGCAGGUGGCAGGGACAGCAAAGCACAGGCACCUUCUAGAAACAGUGAAGGGCUCAAGACAUCCUGAGAAUGCCAACUGGGUGCAUGUGUCUGCUUUUGACCCACCCCAGAUCUUUCUGUUUCUGAGUCCUGUACACCUGCAACAAGGGUAGGAGGGUAGUUUUUUAAAUCGUUUUCCCUGUUUUACAAAGAAGAAAUUACAAUUACAAUCUGGAUCCCAUGGGGCUGUGACAUACAUCACCCACCUUUGUGCCAGGACUGGGGCUAAGCUCCUUGCAGAUACAAUUUUUAAUCCUGACAAUCUUCCAGCACAUUUGCUAUCCUCAACCCCAGUUUUACAAAUGACAAACUGAAGCAGAGGGAGGUGAUGAAGCAGCUGCAUCAUAUUUGAACACAAUUCUCCCAGUUAAAGGUGCAUUUCCAUGCAUUUGCUCUUGAGAGCUCCUCACCAACUCGCGAAUUUAGGAAGAUGAGAAUUUCUCCUUCAGAUACGUAGUGUGUUGGCCCACAUCACAGAGCUAGUAGGGAGCUGGGUUCUGGAACCCAGGCCUUUGAGCUUCGGUGCAUUUAAUUUGUUGCUGAGAUCUGAAUAUUUCCUUGUGACUGAUCAUGAAAACGUGAUGAAAUGGAAAAGAGUUACUAAAAGGAAUGGUGGACGUGGGACUGGAAACAAAACAACGUGCCUCUAAGUUAGCCAUUGGGGUAAAAGUGGAGCGAGGUCAGAGGCUCGUCAGGACUGUACUGGGCACGGCCCUGGCCUCCUCACUCACUGCCCACAGCAGCCCUCCCAGGGGACUGCACUGGUGGAGGAGGGGCAGACCCAGUCUGCCCUCGGAUGGGACGCAGGGAUUCAAAGUCCAUUUUUCCAUCUGAAACACUGACUGCAUCACACGUUACCUUUAACUGGAAAAAGACAACAUGCACUUUGCAAUGUUCUGCGUUAAGAUGAAUACAUGAUGAACAGUGACAGCUUAACUGUCUGGUUGACCUUGAAGAAAAAAAGACAACCAUUCUGUUUUAAUGUAGUCAAAUAAACAUCAAGUGGCUUGCAAGUAAAAAGCAGGAAAAGGCAGCACUUUGUGAAAAAGGAGGUUUGGGAUUUGUAAACGUUUUAACGAGUCAUCUGGGAAAACCCGAGGUGUGUCUCCUGUGCAAAAGACUCACAUCCGGAAUUACAAAGGUUUUGCAUUUAGCACAGAAGUGAUGCGUCGAAACACCCGAUUGUUUAAAUUUUAAUGACAAACAAAAAACGUGCUUUAAUAAGAUUUCACUUUCAUUUCCCUGAGUAGCUAUGUUCUGGGGCCUGUGAAUCUUCUUGGAGCAUUAAAUGCAUUUGUCAAUUUGGGGGGUAGCCUUUCAAUUAAUAUGAAGUCAAAAUAAAAGGACACUCACAGGUCCUUUCUUUCCCAGGUGGGGGUUCUUCCUGGUGUUGUACUAUUGAGAACUGAAUUGACAGGUGUGUGGACAUCCCUGGUCAUUGUCUUCUGCUGUCUAACCACGUCGUCUUUCCCAUAGGCUUUCCAUCUACUGAGAAAGGGGAGAAGGAAGAGAAUGAAAUGGAAAAUGAGUGAUUGGUCUUAUGUAAACCCUUCUAGGCAAAACAGGAACCAGAGGGGGUCUGAUAUUUUGGAUCAAAUGAGUUGCUGGUUUUAUUUAGAGAUCCUGCUUAGAAUUAAUGCGUCCAUGCUGUUGGAGAAGAGAGCAAAGUAGUGACAACAUCAGGCUCAUUGUUCAUUCAUUCAUUCAUUCAUACAUUGAGCAUUCCUAGGGGCUGAGGAGUCAAGAGCCAUUAAAUUUUAUCCAGUAAUCUUCCCUUAUCUGCGGAUUCGCCUUUGGCAGUUCCAGUAGCCUGUGGUCAACUGAUGUCCCAAAAUAGGUGAGGUCUCAAAAUAGGUGAAUACAAGAAGAAAUUUAGAGAGAGAGAGAGGAAGAGAGAGAGAAAGAGAAAGAGACCACAUUCACAUAACUUUUAUUAGAGUAUAUUGUUGUAAUUGUUUUAUUUUAUUAUGUUAUAGGUGAUCUCUUACUGUGCCUAAUUUAUAAAUUACACUUUAUCACAGGUAGGUAUGUAUAGGAAAAAUCAUAGUAUAUAUAUAUAGGAUUUGGUGCUUCCAUACUUUCAGGCAUCCACUGGGAGUCUUGAAACGUGUCGCCCUGGGAUAAGGGGGACAACUGUAUGCACAAUUCUUUGUCCAAAGGACUCAUCCUCCAGGGAGGAAGGGAGAAGGGUGAAGAUGCUCAGAGUACAGGUGGCCACUGGCUCUCCCAGGACAUUCCAUCCAUUUCUGGAACGUCAUUAUGCUUCAGGGAGGUCAUACCGGACACUCACUACUGCUCAACAGCUAAGCAGUAGAAAUGAAAACAGAUGUUCUUUGUACCUUGUUCAGCUCUACCCUGAGUAUUCUAUGGUAGAAACUUCAACCCUUGUCCAUAAAUGGGGACAUUCCGCUGCCUCUUUCUCUCACAGGUGUCAUUUCUGAGCAGGGAAGGUGUGAUCUGGGGCCAGAAUGAAUGGCCCUGGUGACUUCUUACCUGAUUCAUCCCACACCAGUCAGAAGGGGCUGUGAAGGCAGCAGCGAAGGAGCCACACAUGGACGUGGAAUGGGCACGCUGACCAUCAUGGUCACGACUGCAAGAAAGCAGGUACUGAGCCCACUUCUGUCUGAAGACUGUGAUAUUGAGCUGAGGCCACACACACACACACACCCACACACACACACACACACACACACAGCCUUUGCUUCGAAAGGACCAGGUCCCUCAUCAUGCAUUGUCAACAAUACAUAAAAGCUGAAAGGCGCCUCACACUCGGGCUCACGCUCCGCAAGUAGCCAACAUGCAAGAAGAGACAGAGGGGCUUCCAGCAUGGUGCCUGACACCUGGAGACACCCACUACUUACUGUGUGGGUGAAUGAAGAAAAUGCGUACCUGGCUCCAGAAUGGCCCAUUGCUGGUUGGCAUGGGGUUCCGUUGCUUAGAGGUGAGAGGGUGAGUAUGGGCUCCACUGGAAGACAAUAGGGCAUAGAUGUGGUUCGGCCACAUAUUUCAUCAAGGUGCACCUGUGACUUCUGCAGCAUCUAAUUUGAGAAAUUGAUAAAAUGGCUAAACAGUGUAUAUUAUGGUAGUCGGAGAGAUGAGUUGGUUAUAACCCCGGCUCUUUCUUGCAGGGCUGCGUGGGUUAAUUGGCUGUGUCUGAGGGUCACCCCUGCACAAGGAGGAUGAUGACGACUGCCCUGUGCAACCCUGGGUCAUCUCAGGGGAGAGCCAUUCCCAGGUUCACAGCAAGCACUCUUUUACUCAGAUGGGCCACCUGCAUCAGGCCCCAAGGAAGCACUUAUUAGUAGAAGAAAAAAAACAAAAACCCAGAAAACAGCCAGUGAGACUAUUUUACAAACAAGCGAAGAGCAGCAACUGAAAGCAACAAUAACUACAACAUAAAUCCCUCUGCAAAUAUUUGGGAUUUCAUUUCCACUAAGGAUAAUGAUGGCGUAGAAGGCAUGUCUGUGGGAGUUAUGCACACAGGGAAAAAGGUGGUGAAAAUAAUCAACCAAAAAUAACAAAAUUCAAUUAAUCAAAACAGAACAAAAUAAAAUGAGCCAAACAGCAUAUCUGAAUAUAAGCAUAAUAAUUGUCGUUGGACAAACCUUUGUCAAAUCAAAUUGGCUUCUAGCACACGGGCUGAUACUUUGUGAUUCAAGUGGUGUUCUACCCACAUAAUUCAUUUAGUUGCAAAGAAUGUAACAAAUAAUGCAAUUAUUCCAGAGGAUCACGGUGAGACAUCUAUUUGGUGGUGCCUUAAGCAGAGUGCCCUGAUUCAGAAGAAUUAGACCAAUCUCUGGAUUCACAGCCACUCAUGAAAACUGUAGGCCGGGCACGGUGGCUCAUGCCUGUAAUCCCAGCACUUUGGGAGGCCAAGGCGGGUGGAUCACGAGGUCAGGUGAUCGAGACCAUCCUGGCUAACAUGGUGAAACCCCGUCUCUACCAAAAAUACAAAAAGAAAUUAGCUGGGAGUGGUGGCGGGCACCUGUAGUCCCAGCUACUCGGGAGGCUGAGGCAGGAGAAUCGCUUGAACCCAGGAGGUGGAGGUUGCCGUGAGCCGAGAUCACGCUACUGCACUCCAAUCUGGGUGACCGAGCAAUACUCCGUCUAAAAAAAAAAAGUAAUAAUAAUAAUAAAAUAGGAAACUGCAGUAACUCGGGACAUCUGGGUUCCUUGUCUUUUGUCAAAAUCACAGGGAAUUCAACUCACUGAAUCUAUUGGUCAAUUCAAUUCCGCCAUUGGUCAGUAUGACUCGGCUUUUGACAGAGAGUUUUACCCAAAGACUUGCAGAACUUCCUUCCUGCAAGAUUUCAGAAGCACAGCAAGCAUUGCAAGAGGAAACUACCUUAUAAAUCAUACAAACCCAGCAUCGUGUUCUUUGCUUGUCCUUGCCUGAAUUUACUGGAAAAUCAUGUUGUGAAACCUAAAUGCAAAUGAACCUUUCUUAUUGCAAAUUAAAAACUAAAUCCAUUUUCAACUGAAUUCAAUGGGAAAAACAAGAAUUAUUUUCCUAAAAAGUAAAUAUCCACCACUCCGUAAUAAUUGUGAUCCGCUGUGGCUUAUGUGUCGUGUCUCAGGACAUGGACUCGGUCCUCUGCAUACCUUACCUCUCAUCCUGCAAUAAUCCUGAACAGGUUCCCAUUAUCCCCAUUUUAGAGGUAAGAAAAACACAGCUCUAAGGGUCUAAGUAACAAUCCCAAAGCCAGAAAUCAGUGCAAUCUUUCCUUGUAGGUUCCAUAAAGGAAGACUCCUCAUUGCUCGCUCAGGGUAAAUGUCUACUCUUUGCAAAUGCCAUUCUUAGCAAUCCUUUAAAAACAGUAACUCCUAGAUUGUAGUACUGCUCAAAGUUUCUAAGGAAACUCACAAGCUUAAAGAAAUGGCCGUGGGGUACUUGGGUAAUAGCUUCCCCACUUUCUUAUCCAGGAGCCUGGCUUCCAGGUGUUACCCUAGGCUGGUCAUGAAGAUACGUCCACCUUUUUUUUUGUUUUAAGUUACAGAGUUGCAAAUAUUUUUAAUAUUUUAAAUUGAUAAACCCAAGUUAUUUGAAUGCCAUCUUUAAAGUUUUUGAUUUGUUUUGCUUGUUUGUGCCUUGUCUUGUUUUUAAAACUUUUAUUUUAGGUUCAAGGGUACAUGUGCAGGUUUGUUAUAUAGGUACACUCCUGUCACGGGGGUUUGUUGUAUAGAUUAUUUCCUGAUCCAGUUACUAAACCUACACAUCCUGAAAAGGCAACAUUUCUGAUUCCCUAAGUGCAGGGAGCUCAGUGGGUGGGGCACAAUUGAUUAAUGGUGACCCAGCAGCUGCAGGCAUGCCUUCCCCUCUUAAAUCCUAUAAACCUUUCUCCCAGGGCAGAGAAUGGGACUGGCCUUGUUCCCACAGCUCCCUCCCCUUGCCAUCCUUGAGCCUUGAGAAGGAGCUGCUUACACAGCGAAGAAGGCCGGAAGGUCUGUGCGACAUUCUUUGGUACCAUCUGUGGACAUUACUGUUCCAUGCAGCCGAGGCUCCGUCCAGCGUUCACUGAUCUUACUGUACCUCCCCUCAGAUCUAGGGGAACGUGCUGGGAGCCGCUUCAGAAAUGGGGGACUUUCUUUUUUUUUUUUUUUUGAGAUUUAAAAAACUUUAAUCUCCAAAUUAAGUAUUUCUUUAUAGAACUCUGUUUUAGACAACAAAGAAUGGUAACAUAGUUAAGAGCCCAAACUCUGUGGUCAGGUACAUCUGAGCUAAUGAAUAUACUUAGAAUUCCUGGCAUGUGGUGAGCACUUGGUAGACAUUAUUAUUAUUGUUAUUAAUAAUACCCCAAAUCCAUCCUUCCUCCCAGUUAAUUUCUUUUUUUUUUUCUAUUAUACUUUUAAGUUUUAG